rnacentral:rRNA from 1 species
GAUGAACGCUGGCGGCGUGCCUAAUACAUGCAAGUCGAGCGAACAGACGAGGAGCUUGCUCCUCUGACGUUAGCGGCGGACGGGUGAGUAACACGUGGAUAACCUACCUAUAAGACUGGGAUAACUUCGGGAAACCGGAGCUAAUACCGGAUAAUAUAUUGAACCGCAUGGUUCAAUAGUGAAAGACGGUUUUGCUGUCACUUAUAGAUGGAUCCGCGCCGCAUUAGCUAGUUGGUAAGGUAACGGCUUACCAAGGCAACGAUGCGUAGCCGACCUGAGAGGGUGAUAGGCCACACUGGAACGGAGACACGGGCCAGACUCCUACGGGAGGCAGCAGUAGGGAAUCUUCCGCAAUGGGCGAAAGCCUGACGGAGCAACGCCGCGUGAGUGAUGAAGGUCUUCGGAUCGUAAAACUCUGUUAUUAGGGAAGAACAAAUGUGUAAGUAACUAUGCACGUCUUGACGGUACCUAAUCAGAAAGCCACGGCUAACUACGUG